CCUACGGGUGGCAGCAGUGAGGAAUAUUGGUCAAUGGACGAGAGUCUGACCCAGCCAAGUAGCGUGAAGGAUGACUGCCCUAUGGGUUGUAAACUUCUUUUAUAUGGGAAUAAAAUGUUCCACGUGUGGGAUUUUGUAUGUACCAUAUGAAUAAGGAUCGGCUAACUCCGUGCCAGCAGCCGCGGUAAUACGGAGGAUCCGAGCGUUAUCCGGAUUUAUUGGGUUUAAAGGGAGCUUAGGUGGAUUGUUAAGUCAGUUGUGAAAUUUUGCGGCUCAACCGUAAAAUUGCAGUUGAAACUGGCAGUAUUGAGUACAGUAGAGGUGGGCGGAAUUCGUGGUGUAGCGGUGAAAUGCUUAGAUAUCACGAAGAACUCCGAUUGCGAAGGCAGCUCACUGGACUGCAACUGACACUGAGGCUCGAAAGUGUGGGUAUCAAACAGGAUUAGAUACCCCAGUAGUC
rnacentral:rRNA from 1 species